rnacentral:lncRNA from 1 species
GGGAAGACUUUGUUACCUUCUUGCUAUCCCCAGCUCUAGAAGCGUGGGCACCUCUGGCGGAUACUUAGAUCCCUGGUGGUAUGGGUACUAGCUCUGGACACUUCUCUGGAUGUAUUCUUGGGCGGGCGGGGGAAGGGUCCGUGCUUUACCUUAGAACAUCUCAGAGGCACACUCAGGAGGCGCUGGAAUUCAGUGGGCGGGGAAAGAACUGUGUGUGGGGGUGGGUGCCACAUUCUGGGCCCCGGGAGGGUGGAAGCUCCCAGGAGUACAGAUCAAGGCAGCUCUCAGAGGCCAGGACUGGGGCCCAGCCGGACAAGGAGUGACAGUGCUCGUUUGCCAUCUGGGUGGGCUCGCCACCUUCCUCUUCCCCUUCUCCAAGUCACCCUGGGGAGCACAACGUCUCUUUUCUCUGCCGGGUCAGGGCGGGCCCAACGGUGCUCACGGGCUCUCCUGAGCCCUGGAUCUUGGGGGGCGGCUUUUUCUUGGCCUUUCUCGCGGGAGGGCGCAGACCUCCUGGGGCCGACGCAGGCCCCGCUCCGGGUCUGCAGGAAAGGAGGACUUGGCGUACAGCUCGCAAACAAGAGGGCUCAGGACUCUUCGGUUAUGGCGGGCGGGGGGGGGGGGGGGGGGGGGGUGCUGCGGAGGCGGGGCCUAUCUUUAAUUUACCUGGCAGGUAUUUUCUUCUUGUAUUCCAGCCACAUGGCUUACAUGCUCAGAGCGAAAUUAAGGAGUCAGCUCUGGGCUGGCUUUUCAGGCUGUAUACUGUCCUCUAGUGGUGCAUCUCCUGCCCAGUACCAUUUCCAGGGCUUGUUAGGGGACAUGGCUCUCUGCUGGUUUAGAUAACAGCUCCUUCCUCAUUUAGGAUUUCAUCAAGGAGAAACCAAAUUACACAUACAAGGCAAAAAUGCAAUAAAGCAGGCAGCCGGUUUGUAAUUGCUUCAUUAACAUUAACUUUAACUAGCAUGCUUAGCAGACGAGUACAACUGAGGUAACAGUUUGGUUUGGUCACUAGGCAAAUG